UGAGGGAAAUGAAGACGACGA
rnacentral:miRNA from 1 species